UGGGGAAUAUUGGACAAUGGGCGAAAACCUGAUCCAGCCAUGCCGCGUGUGUGAAGAAGGCCUUUUGGUUGUAAAGCACUUUAAGUGGGGAGGAAAAGCUUAUGGUUAAUACCCAUAAGCCCUGACGUUACCCACAGAAUAAGCACCGGCUAACUCUGUGCCAGCAACCGCGGUAAUACAGAGGGUGCAAGCGUUAAUCGGAAUUACUGGGCGUAAAGCGCGCGUAGGUGGUUAUUUAAGUCAGAUGUGAAAGCCCCGGGCUUAACCUGGGAACUGCAUCUGAUACUGGAUAACUAGAGUAGGUGAGAGGGGAGUAGAAUUCCAGGUGUAGCGGUGAAAUGCGUAGAGAUCUGGAGGAAUACCGAUGGCGAAGGCAGCUCCCUGGCAUCAUACUGACACUGAGGUGCGAAAGCGUGGGUAGCAAACAGGAUUAGAUACCCUGGUAGUCCACGCCGUAAACGAUGUCUACCAGUCGUUGGGUCUUUUAAAGACUUAGUGACGCAGUUAACGCAAUAAGUAGACCGCCUGGGGAGUACGGCCGCAAGGUUA
rnacentral:rRNA from 1 species